rnacentral:rRNA from 1 species
CUGGGGUGCUCGAGUGGCGAACGGGUGAGUAACACGUGGGUGAUCUGCCCUGCACUUCGGGAUAAGCUUGGGAAACUGGGUCUAAUACCGGAUAGGACCAUCGUUUAGUUUCGGUGGUGGAAAGUUUUUUCGGUGUGGGAUGAGCUCGCGGCCUAUCAGCUUGUUGGUUUGGUAAUGGCCUACCAAGGCGUCGACGGGUAGCCGGCCUGAGAGGGUGUACGGCCACAUUGGGACUGAGAUACGGCCCAG